GGAUUACUGCAUGGACUCUAUCCUUACAGGGAUGGCCGUUAGAAGUCCGUUAUAAACAUAAUAAGAGAAGCCCAGUUGCCCAAGGUUUAGCAGAAUUACAUGACUGUACUGCUCCAUCUCUGGAUGAUAAUAACACCGGAGAUGACUUCCUAGAAGAGCAAUUGCUAUCUCCUUAUAAAGUUUAUGACGAGGAAUACUGUCGACCACUACCGUGGGUAUACAUUGAUGGUUGUUCAUAUCACCACGUCGCUGGUGCUGAACGGAAGUUAGUUGCAGG